CCCUUAGACGUUCUGGGCCGCACGCGCGCUACACUGAUGCAUUCAACGAGUUUCUUCCUGGUCCGAGAGGAAUGGGUAACCUUUUGAAAGUGCAUCGUGAUAGGGAUAGACUAUUGCAAUUAUUGGUCUUCAACGAGGAAUUCCUAGUAGACGUAGUUCAUCAGACUGCAUCGAUUACGUCCCUGCCCUUUGUACACACCGCCCGUCGCUCCUACCGAUUGAAUGCUCAGGUGAGCCAUUCGGACUUUCAUCAUGCUGGUUUCCAGUUUUGAUGAAGGAAAGUCUUGCGAACCCUAUCAUUUAGAGGAAGGAGAAGUCGUAACA
rnacentral:rRNA from 1 species